UGUAUUGACGAGGUUAUCGCUGCCCUAAUGGGCAGAGGAAAGUCCGAACACCGCAGGACGCCAUGCUUCCUAACAGGAAGGCCUUGCCUUUGCGGCGAGGACAGCACGUGCAGCAGAAAGUAUUCCAGCCGAUGGUCUCCUUUUGGGGAAACAGGUAAUGGGUGAAAGGGUGGGGUAAGAGCCCACCGGCACUUCAGGUGACUGGAGUGGCCAGGUAAACCUCAUGGGGUGCAAGGUCAAACAGUUUCGAGAUUCCUUCAGGUAUCAACGAUGGUCCGUCGAAGAAACGGGUAGACCGCACAUGAAAUCAACGGCGACGUUGGUUCUAGAUAAAUGAUAAUCGGGCCUGAUUGGCAACGCGGUAUCCAUCAGGACGCACAGAAUUCGGCUUACAAGUCAAUACAAACC
rnacentral:RNase_P_RNA from 1 species